UGCAGCUCUGUCAAAUUCGUUCUCUGCCUCCUCCCUGGCAGGGAGCGGCCAAGCAGCUGCCACAGCAACCUUGUGCCCCACGAGCCCCAUGGCCCCUUCAGUGGGGCACUGGGGGUGAAAUGGCACAGACACAG